GUGCUCAUUUCAGCAGCACAUACACUAAAACUGAAAUAAUACAGAGAAGAUUACCAUGGCCCCUGUGCAAGGAUGACACGCAAAUUUGUGAAGCAUUCUAUAUUUUU
ensembl:snRNA U6 U6 spliceosomal RNA